AUAGAGAGGUUCUCAGAUAGGAGGGAUAUAACCGUGUAUCCCUCGCAGGAUCGGUAUGGAGAGGUUCUCAGGUAGGAUGGGUAUAACCAUGUACCCCCUCACAGGUUAGGUAUGGAGAGGUUCUCAGGUAGGAGGGGUAUAACCGUGUACCCCCUCACAGGUUAGGUGUGGAGAGGUUCUCAGAUAGGAGGGGUAUAACCGUGUUCCUCUCACAGGUUGGGUAUAGAGAGGUUCUCAGGUAGGAGGGGUAUAACCGUGUACCCCCUCACAGGUUAGGUAUAGAGAGGUUCUCAGAUAGGAGGGGUAUAACAGUGUACCCCUCAGGUUAGGUAUGGAGAGGUUCUCAGGUAGGAGGGGUAUAACCGUGUACCUCCUCACAGGUUAGGUAUGGAGAGGUUCUCAGAUAGGAGGGGUAUAACCGUGUACCCCCUCACAGGUUAGGUAUGGAGAGGUUCUCAGGUAGGAGGGGUAUAACUGUGUACCCCCUCACAGGUUAGGUAUGGAGAGGUUCUCAGGUAGGAGGGGUAUAACUGUGUACCGCUCACAGGUUAGGUAUGGAGAGGUUCUCAGAUAGGAGGGGUAUAACCGUGUACCCCCUCACAGGUUAGGUAUGGAGAGGUUCUCAGAUAGGAGGGGUAUAACCGUGUACCCCCUCACAGGUUAGGUAUGGAGAGGUUCUCAGGUAGGAGGGGUAUAACUGUGUACCCCCUCACAGGUUAGGUAUGGAGAGGUUCUCAGGUAGGAGGGGUAUAACUGUGUACCGCUCACAGGUUAGGUAUGGAGAGGUUCUCAGAUAGGAGGGUAUAACCGUGUACCCCCUCACAGGUUAGGUAUGGAGAGGUUCUCAGAUAGGAGGGGUAUAACAGCCCCUCCGGGUUAGGUAGAGGUUCUCAGGUAGGAGGGGUAUAACUGUGUGCCCCCUCACAGGUUAGGUAUGGAGAGGUUCUCAGGUAGGAGGGGUAUAACCGUGUGCAGCUCACAGGUUAGGUAUGGAGAGGUUCUCAGAUAGGAGGGGUAUAACCGUGUACCCCCUCACAGGUUAGGUAUGGAGAGGUUCUCAGAUAGGAGGGGUAUAACCGUGUACCCCUCACAGGUUAGGUAUGGAGAGGUUCUCAGGUAGGAGGGGUAUAACAGUGUACCCCUCACAGGUUAGGUAUGGAGAGGUUCUCAGGUAGGAGGGGUAUAACCGUGUACCCCUCACAGGUUAGGUAUGGAGAGGUUCUCAGGUAGGAGGGGUAUAACUGUGUACCCCUCACAGGUUAGGUAUGGAGAGGUUCUCAGAUAGGAGGGGUAUAACCGUGUACCCCCUCACAGGUUAGGUAUGGAGAGGUUCUCAGAUAGGAGGGGUAUAACCGUGUACCCCUCAGGUUAGGUAUGGAGAGGUUCUCAGAUAGGAGGGGUAUAACCGUGUUCCCCUCACAGGUUAGGUAUGGAGAGGUUCUCAGAUAGGAGAGGUAUAACCGUGUACACCUCACAGGUUAGGUAUGGAGAAGUUCUCAGGUAGGAGGGGUAAAACAGUGUGCCCCUCACAGGUAAGUUAUGAAGAGGUUCUCAGGUAGGAGGGGUAAAACAGUGUACCUCUCACAGGUUGGGUAUGAAGAGGUUCUCAG